AGGUCGAACGGUCUCUAGCAAUAGAGAUAGUGGCGCACGGGUGCGUAACGCGUAACCAACCUACCCGAAUCUGGGGGAUAGCCCGCCGAAAGGCGGAUUAAUACCGCAUAAAACGGCAGACCGGCAUCGGUUCACCGUUAAAGAUUUAUUGGAUUCGGAUGGGGUUGCGUGCCAUUAGCUAGUUGGCGGGGUAACGGCCCACCAAGGCGACGAUGGCUAGGGGAGCUGAGAGGCUGGUCCCCCACACGGGCACUGAGAUACGGGCCCGACUCCUACGGGAGGCAGCAGUAGGGAAUAUUGGGCAAUGGCCGAGAGGCUGACCCAGCCAUGCCGCGUGCAGGAUGAAGGCUUUCUGAGUCGUAAACUGCUUUUACCAGGGAAGAAAAAAGGGGAUGCGUCCUCUACUGACGGUACCUGGUGAAUAAGCACCGGCUAACUCCGUGCCAGCAGCCGCGGUAAUACGGAGGGUGCAAGCGUUGUCCGGAUUUAUUGGGUUUAAAGGGUGCGUAGGCGGCUUUUUAAGUCCGGGGUGAAAGCCCGUUGCUCAACAACGGAACUGCCCCGGAAACUGGAGAGCUUGAGUACAGACGAGGGUGGCGGAAUGGACGGUGUAGCGGUGAAAUGCAUAGAUACCGUCCAGAACCCCGAUUGCGAAGGCAGCUGCCUAGACUGUAACUGACGCUGAGGCACGAAAGCGUGGGGAGCGAACAGGAUUAGAUACCCUGGUAGUCCACGCCGUAAACGAUGGAUACUCGCUGCGGGCGAUAGACGGUCCGUGGCUUAGCGAAAGCGUUAAGUAUCCCACCUGGGGAGUACGCUCGCAAGAGUGAAACUCAAAAGAAUUGACGGGGGCCCGCACAAGUGGUGGAGCAUGUGGUUUAAUUCGAUGAUACGCGAGGAACCUUACCUAGGCUAGAAUGCGCGUGACCGGUCCAGAGAUGGACCUUUCCUUCGGGACAC
rnacentral:rRNA from 1 species